GAUUGCCCUACAUUUUCAGUAGACUUACUCUCCCAGCAAACUCAGCUAGGUGAUGAUUAUCACAAUUUUCUAGUGACAUGAUGGUAUUUGUUGAAGAGGAAAAAUUUAUAUCUAGUUUAAUAUAAUUUGAUGAAUGCCUUGGUUAUUUGAAGUGGCAGCAAGAAGCUGCCAUCCUAAGUAUUAGAUAGAUUAGAUACAUUAUGGGAAUAUGAUAUUAAGAUAGAUUAUGAAUAUGUUGGGAACUGUGAAUUUAUGUGCUAUUUUUGUAAAUUAUUUAGUGUCGUAUUCUCAAGUAUAUUAGAACAAUCAUGUAAUGUGUAGCUCUACUACGGUUUUUCAUGUCAGAUAAGAAAUUUCAACUUCCUACAUUUGUAGACGGAUGCCCAUAAUGGCAUUAUCAUAAUGGAUGAAAUAAUUGAAAUAUCUAGACCUCCCAUUUGGAGUCUCUUUUAAGGCCAAGUAUAUAUUUCUACUACAUAUUUGAUAUCCUUGUUUCCACUUCAGACCAAUCAUAUAGAGAAGUUAAAACGGGAUUUCUUAUGGAGCAAGCUAGGUGGAGUGUUCAAACUCACCUAGUAAAUGGGGCUAAGAUGUUCUCUCCAAUGUCACCCCGGGGGGGGGGGGGGGGGGGGUGCUUGGGAUUUUGAAAAUUUGUUUAACCAUGCCUUCCUAGGGAGGUAGGUGGCUUUGGUGCUACCAAAAUGAGAGUAGGCUUGUGGAAAGACAUAGUGAAUUUGAAAUUCAGUUGUGUUUGGGGUUGUUGGUGAACUGAUAAGGUACGUGGGCCAUAUGGGAUAGGGUUUUGGAAAAAUCUUAGGAUAGAAUGGUGGGAUUUUUAUUUUUUAUUUUUUUUGAUAAGUAAAAAUUUUAUUUAACCUAUGAAAUAGGCGAAACCAAUGUACACAGGAAGUAUACAAAAGGAACACCUAAGAACAUUCAAGUAAUAAAAUAGUGAAAACAAAAACUCAUGGACUGCCUGACCAUUAAGAACAAUGGCUGAAAACCAAGAAAACAGGGAAAAUAUAAAAAAUUUCCAGAGAUCAUCUACAGAACAUUCCCUGUCAUUAAAACACCUCAUUCCUUUCCAACCAGAUGCACCACAUAAUACACAAAGGAAUCAUCUUCCACGACGCUGCAACUUGAGAACAAGAAUGAAUUCUAGGCCAGCAUGCAAGUAUUUCUGUCACUGAUUUUGGCAUAACCCAGGACAGUCCAAUUCUUCUAAACACCCCUUCCCAUAACCCUUUUGCCGCAUCACAGUGAAUAAGAAGAUGAUCCACUGAUUCUCCAGCUUUCUUACACAUGAAACACCACUCCAUAACCAUCAUUCCAUGCUUUCUCAAAUUGUCAAUAGUCUGAAUGUUUCCAAUUGCCACGGUCCAAACAAAGAAAGCAACUUUUGACGGAACACAAACCUUCCAAAUAUUCUUCCAAGGAAAUGAAAAAUUUUGCUGACCAAUCAUCAUCUUAUAAAAAGAUCUUUUUUUUUUUGGAUAACUAAGAAAGAUUUUAUUGAUCCACGUAAUUAGGCAAAACCCGAGUACACAGAGAGUAUACAAAAGAGAGCCUAAUUACAAACUACGUGCUACGAAAAGUAGCGUAAAAGUCAUUAAUAAUCGUUCCAUUUAAAACAAUGGAAGAAACCCUCCAUGUGCAUCACAUUAAGCAUAGAGGCACUAUCUUCCAAACAGCUGCAAUGUGGCAAUUACCCUGUAUCCCUUUCCAGCAUGACAACAAGUCUAUUACCUUCCUAGGCAUUACCCAUGCAAGAUCGAGCCUAGUAAAGAUUUCAUCCCAUAAAGCCUUGACUACUUCACAAUGAAGAAGUAGGUGAUCUGCUGAUUUGCUAUCGUGUUUGCACAUAGAGCACCAAUCUGUGAUGUAGAGACCACGCUUUUUCAAUUUUUCAAUAGUCAGAAUUUUCCCAUGGGAAGCCAGCCAACCGAAAAAUGCAGCCUUGAGGGGAACGUUGCUCCUCCAAAUGCACUUCCAAGGGAAGACAUUGAAGGAAUGAGUCGUUAAUACCUUGUAUACUUCCUGUGUACACGGGUCAUGCCUAUUAUAUUCUGAGCAAUAAUAUUUAUCUUAUAAAAAAAAAAAAAAAAAGAACAGACUGAAAGCUUCUUGUUCCCUGCAGGUGUCCAAAUUAGUCUGUCCUCACCUCUUCAUUAGAAAAACUGAUCAGCUCAGAGAUGGAAGCCUGCUGAUUAACAGCCAAUCUGAAGACAUUCGGAAAAGCUCUAAACAAAGCGGACUCACCACACCAAACAUCAAACCGGAAACGAAUUCUUGAGCCAUCACCUACCCCAAAAUAAACUUGUUUCACAAAAUUAUCCCAACUUUUUCUAAUGAAUUUCCAUAAGCUUACCCCAUAAGUCUCCCUGCUCUCUUUAGUAAACCAACCCCCCCAAUCACUACCAUACUUCUGGAUAAUCACCCCUCUCCACAUCGCAUCCUCUUCCUUAUUAAUCUCCACAACCACUUCCCUAGUAACACCUUAUUGAAACUACACAAGUUAUGAACACCCAAUCCACCAACAUCAAUAGGACAGCAUCCUUUUUUCCAAUUAACUAAAGGCACUUUUUUCUCCUCCCCCAAACCUCCCCAUAAAAAAGCUCUAUACAGUUUUUUGAUAUGAUUAGCCACACCAACUGGUAAAGGGAAUAAAGAAAGGAAAUACGUUGGAAUAUUCGUAAGGGUCCUCUUAAUAAGGGUAGUUUUACUCUCUUUAGAUAAAUACAUCCUUUUCCAAGCUGCCAACCUUUUCUCAAUCUUCUCAACCACUCCAUCCCAAAUAUACUUUGCCUUGAAUGAUGCCCCCAACGGGAGCCGAGAUAUUUCAUGGGCAGAGAAGAAACUCUACAACCCAAAAACGAUGCUAAAUCAUUAAUAUUAUGAACAACUCCUACCGGGACCAACUCCGAUUCACCCAAGGUCACUUUUAACCCAUAAAUGGCUUGAAAACACAACAGUACAGCCCUCAAUGCUUUAAUCUGAUCCUCAACAGCAUCACAUAAAAUUAAAGUAUCAUCGGCAAAAAGUAAGUGAGAUACAGAAGUAAAUCCAUUAGAAGAAGAACCCACUGAAAAACCUGAAAUAAAUCCACCCCCUACAGCAGCCUCUACCAUACGACUAAGAGCCUCCAUAACAAGAAUAAAUAAGAAAGGAGAUAACGGAUCUCCUUGUCUCAAGCCUCUUGAACUCUUAAAAAAACCAUAAGCCCUAUGAUGGAGCAUAUUAUCUCCAAGCCUUAAAACACUUUUAUUUGUGGGAGACAAAUUCUUGACUCGGUGCUCAUUGCAAAUGAGUGCUUGGAUCACAGGUUGUGGGAGGAGGUCCAGGUAUUAUUUUGUAAGUUUGACAUGGAGAAGGCCUAUGAUCAUGUGAAUUGGGAAUUCCUAUUAUACUUGCUUGGGAGGUGUGGAUUUGAUAAUAGGUGGAUUUCCUGGAUGUGUCAUUGUAUUUCUACUGCCUGGUUUUUAGUUCUAGUCAAUGGUACACCUGCUGGUCUUUUUAAUAGUUCUCGGGGUUUGCGGCAAGGCUAUCCAUUAUCUCCCCUAUUGUUUGUUAUAGUUAUGGAGACUCUUAGUCGGAUGGUACAGGUUGCUGUGGAUGGUGGUCUAUUAUCUAGUUAUAAGACACUAUCCAGAUCCAAACUCUACGAGCAUUGUUACUUUGCUUUGAAGUAGUGUUGGGGCUCAAGGUGAAUCUUGGUAAGUCCGAGAUGGUUCCAGUGGGUGCGGUCUCAAAUAAUCUCAACUUAGCAAGCAUCUUGGAUUGUAAGGUGUCCUCUUUGCCAAUGAAAUAUUUGGGCCUUCCGUUGGGUGGCAACUUUUAAGGCUAGAGAUAUAUGGGACGGGGUGGUGGACAAGAAAGAGAAAAGGUUGGCUGGUUGGAAGCGGAUGUAUUUAUCGAAAGUGGGUCAUCUCACCCUUAUUAAGGUGUCAUUGUGGGCAAUUAUUGAUGUUAGAUAUGGAGCUGCUUGGGGUGGCUGGUGCUCCAACGAAGUUAAGGGGGGGGGUAUGGCAUGGGGUUAUGGAGUUUAUAAGAAGGGGCUGGCCAUGUUUUGAGGAUCAGAUUUGCUUUGUAGUUGGUGAGGGCAAUCACAUCAGCUUUUGACGGGAUGUGUAACGUGGGGAUCAUGCAUUGGAAAGGGCCUUUCCAGCUCUUUAUCGUAUUGCAGCGAAUAGGGAGGCUUCAGUGGCAGAUAUGCGACUCUUUUUUCAUGGCUCUCACCAGUAGAAUAUUCUUUUUAAUAGGGAUUUCCAUGAUUGGGAACUACCUAUUGUAUCUAAUUUUUUCAGCCUACUAUACUCCAAGGGGACUCCUAUGGCACGGAGGGAUAGAUUGAAGUGGAUGUCUAAUAAUCAUAAGAAAUGUACUGUUAAGGUGUACUAUAAAAUUUUGUCAACACAAGAUCA